rnacentral:pre_miRNA from 14 species
CAAGUGUUAGAACAGAGCCGCUGUGUGGUUUAGGUAGUUUUAUGUUGUUGGGCAUUCACCUUUCUCUCUACAACAAGAAACUGCCUUAAUUACAUCAGUGGGAAUCAUCACCCAGGUAG